UACGUAGGGAGCAAGCGUUGUCCGGAAUCAUUGGGCGUAAAGCGCGCGUAGGCGGCCCGAUAAGUCCGCUGUGAAAGUCAACGGCUCAACUGUUGGAUGCCGGUGGAUACUGUCGGGCUAGAGUACGGAAGAGGCAAGUGGAAUUCCUGGUGUAGCGGUGGAAUGCGUAGAUAUCGGGAGGAACACCAGUGGCGAAGGCGGCCUGCUGGGACAUGGCUGACGCUGAGGCGCGACAGCGUGGGGAGCAAACAGG
rnacentral:rRNA from 1 species